rnacentral:tRNA from 1 species
GCUGGCUUAGGCGAGGCCUGUGGGCUUGAGGGGCUCAUAGCCGCCUCACGGCGGCACCAUCGCUUCGCGUUGGGUCGCGCUGCAAGCA